rnacentral:rRNA from 1 species
UACGUAGGCAGCGAGCGUUGUUCGGAAUUACUGGGCGUAAAGAGUGUGUAGGUGGUGCUCUAAGUUCGGUGUGAAAUCUCCCGGCUUAACUGGGAGGGUGCGGCGAAAACUGGAAUGCUAGAGGAUGGGAGAGGUAAGCGGAAUUCCUGGUGUAGCGGUGAAAUGCGUAGAUAUCAGGAGGAACACCUGUGGUGUAGACAGCUUACUGGACCAUUUCUGACGCUGAGACGCGAAAAGCGUGGGGGAGCGAACAGG